rnacentral:rRNA from 1 species
GACGUAGGGCGCGAGCGUUGUCCGGAUUUAUUGGGCGUAAAGAGCUCGUAGGCGGCCUGUCGCGUCGACUGUGAAAACCCGCAGCUCAACUGCGGGACUGCAGUCGAUACGGGCAGGCUAGAGUUCGGUAGGGGAGACUGGAAUUCCUGGUGUAGCGGUGAAAUGCGCAGAUAUCAGGAGGAACACCGGUGGCGAAGGCGGGUCUCUGGGCCGAUACUGACGCUGAGGAGCGAAAGCGUGGGGAGCGAACAGG